CCUCCCUGUUGCAAGCCGAGCCGCACGCGUAGCUUCCUGUACCGAGCCGAGCCGCGCCUGCGCCAAGCCGAGCCGGUCCCUGUCUUCUUCCAGCCGAGCCGCCAAGACCAAAUUGGCUCCAUCCACCUAAAUUUUGGUAAUUUAAUUAAUUAUUGUGGCAUUUCCCAGUAAGACUCCAUGCUUCGGACGUCAAUUAAAUUAAUUUGGGACUAAAAUUAAGUUAUUUUCCUUAAGGGACGUCUUGGACCAAGUAAUUGCUGCAGCGCGGGAAUUCUUCAGCAGGGGGGCUCGAGCACUGCAACCUCUCUAGGUUAGGACUUCGUCGCUUGGAAAGCGUACUGCCUCGCGGUUAGGACUCGACAAGUAGAUCUCCAGGUAGAGGACGAGGCAAGGGCAAGGGCAAGCUGGCGAGCGACCCGAAGUGAGACCGUGAAGGGCCAUAGGGACUACCGCUUCCGCUUAUCUUUAUUUCAGACUUUCGCAUUUGAGUUUGAGUACUUUUCAUUACUUACCAUCUUUUAUGUAGAUAGGGCCCGAGUAGGACUUCAGAACGCAUUUACACUUUUUUGCAUGACUACCUUGUUUAGUUUUUCAUAAAUGAAAUUUC